UUUAGUCUUUUAAAUCUGAAGUUUGUGAUAUCAUUGCAGACUUGAACUGCUGCUAGCUACUAUAAAUUUGUGAGCCAUGAAAUAAGAAGUGCUUUAAGAUCAUUCUAUCCCUAAUCGAUUCAGUGGUAGGCAGUUAUCAUGCACUGUUUCCAGAAGGAACUCCCAUGGAGUUGCAGCACAUCAUUAAACUCAAGGUCUUAAGAAAGCUCAGCAGAGCAUACUUGAUGAUCUCAUCAAGCAUGGCCCAAGGUAUACACAGCCCUCUGUUUCAGGGGUAAUGCCACAAGUGGUUCCAACCCACCUGCACUGCGCUGGUAAUCACUAAUCCGGGUACAACAGCUAGGUUUAUAGCAAACAACGAGGAUGUGUUAACCAGGCAGAAGCUCUUGGUAGAGGAGCUGAAACCACUGGCUUUAAUAAUUUAAUUGCUCUUACUGAAGCUGUCAAAGACCUCAAAGAUGGUCUCUCUCUCUCACUUUUAACAGGACAAACAAGCUUUCUUCAAGACUUUCUUCGCGUGGCUUAAACCAGGUUCAUCAGCGACUGAUGUAGGAGCUUGAAAGCUCCAUCUCCUGAGUUUUCAGAGUACAUCAAACAGAGAAGAUAUGAUCUCCAUGAUGUUCAAGCAUAUGCGAAGGUUUUUUUCCUUUGUCAAUGAUAUGUGUUUCUGUGUGUAUCAAAACCCUAAGCUUUAAUCCAUGUAACAAAAAUAUUCAUUGUAUUAUGCUAAAGACGCCAGUUUUAAGUUCAAACUUUUAUUAUCCU